GGAUAUACACAUUGAACAAUGCCAAUCAUUAGCAACAACUAGGCUAUGUGACGCAGCACUUUUAGGAAACGUGCGUUUGUUACUCGACUUGCUUGAAGAAGAUCCACUUAUCCUCGAAAGAUGCAUCAUUGAAAUAUCAGGCAACUUCAGGCAAUCCCCGUUACAUGUUGCUGUUGCUAAGGGACAUCGUAAGUUCGUAGACGAACUUUUACGUCGUGAGCCGGAACUUCUCUAUUUCUCAGUGAGAAAUGAAAUUUGUUAUUAUUUUAAUGAAAGUAAGGAAUGUGAGAGGAUCAUUACAGGAAAUUCUCUAUUUCUCAUAGUGAGAAACGAAAUUUGUCUCUCAUGAGGCAUCCUCGGUUAUUAUCGUUAAUGGUCAAAAUGACCCCAAAAAACAUUAAUCGAGCAAUUUUUUUAGCUUGAAAAUUGAGAAAUCAUAUAUUUAUUACACUAGUAGAAAAAAGCAAAAAGGCACCGCUCAAUGGCCACCGGUUUUAAAAAACCGGUGGCAAAAAUAGGGGAAAAAAUGGGCGGGAUUUUGAGGGAUUAGUAUUGCCACCGGUUCGGUUCGAACCGGUGGGAAAAAUAUUAAUCCCACCGGUUCAAACCGGUGGCUUUGUUAAAAAAAAAACCCGACCUUUUCUAAAACCCACCCCUUUUGUUCCUUCCUAUUUAUUAACCCCUUUUACCAAACCCUAGCCCCCUCAUCUUCUCUCUCCUCCCUUUUUCUUUCUGAAAUUAUCUCUCCUCACUCUUCACUCCUCACAGCUCCUCCAUACCCAUAACUCAUCUUCGUUCUCAACUCAGUCCACUUCAUUCUCUUUUCUCUCGUCCCCUCAUCCCCUAUGCUCUUCCUCUCUUAUCUCGCUCGCCUCCUCCCUCCUCUUCACCUCUUUUGAAAACCACCGCCGCCGCCACUAACUUUCGCCGCCUUAGGUUUUCUGGUCAAAUUCGAUCAUGAAAACUCUAGAUCUAGAGUUUUCAUGGUCGAAUUUGACCUUUAUAACCCAAAUUCUAGAUAAUUUUGGGGGUUUUUGGUGAAAUUCGAGGUACAUGCAUGAGUUCGUGAACUAUUCUGGGUUUGUGAAAUAUGUAGGUCUUAAUUGAUGCAUCAAGAUUCAAGACAUGCAACAAGAUUCAAGACUUUGAUUUUGAAAAAUUGUUUUAGAUGUAUUUUAUUUAUUUAUUAUUUUUUAUUGUAAAAUAAUUUAAAGUUGAAUUUCAUUGUUUGAUUAUAAUUCAAUGUAAUUUUUUAAUUUUUUUUUAGUAUUGUACAAUAACAAUUUACAAUAACAAUUCUUUUGCGCU